rnacentral:rRNA from 1 species
AGUCUGACCUGCCCUCUGAUAUAGGUAUAUAUUGAAUGGCCGCGAUAAUUUGAUCGUGCAAAGGUAGCAUAAUCAUUAGUUUUUUAAUUGAGAACUGGAAUGAAAGGUCGAACGAGAAAAAAACUGUCUCAAUUUAAUUUAAUUAGAAUUUUAUUUUUAAGUAAGAAAGCUUAAAUUUUUUUAAAAGACGAGAAGACCCUAUAGAGUUUUAUAAUUAAGAUUUAUUUUUUAGUUUAAGAAUUUUAUUUUAAAAUUAAUUAAUAAUUAUUUGAUUGGGGCGAUUGAAAAAUUUAAUAAACUUUUUUUAUAUAAGUACAUUAAUAUAUGAUUAAUUGAUCCAUAAUUUAUGAUUAAAAGAUUAAAUUACCUUAGGGAUAACAGCGUAAUUUUUUUUGAGAGUUCAUAUCGAAAAAAAAGUUUGCGACCUCGAUGUUGGAUUAAAAUAAACUUUUGGUGUAGAAGCUAAAAAUGUUAGGUCUGUUCGACCUUUAAAAUUUUACAUGAUCUGAGUUUAAACCGGUGUAAGCCAGGUUGGUUUCUAUCUUUAA